UGUUGCUGGAACCCUGUGAUGUGGGACUUCCUGCAGCAAUUUUGGGAAAGGCAGCAUGUCUGGGCAGAAGCCAGAAGUUUUGUUCUAGGAGGGUCUGACCCUCUCUUGGAGCCCCCAUCUAAAUAAGUGUUAAAGCCAAGGAAGGAGAGAACACUGGCCUGCUGAUCUGGACUCAAAAGCUGGAAAUACUUGGUGGGGGUCCUUUAGCUCUCUGGUGAGUGAAUAGCCCUGAGUCCCAGUGAACCAGGUGUUGAUGGCUGUUUUGAGACCUUGGUUCUUGUCUUCUUAGUUUAAAAGAAUUUAAACAAGAGACACGGUGCAGCAUUGAGGAGUUUAUUGCAAAGGAAAAAGAAUAUUUUGAAAGUUAAGUGCAGAGUAGACAGUACACCUUGAGAGAAGAGAGAAUUCAGGGUGGGCUGCUCAUAAGAAUGAGGCAGUGUUAGCCGGGCGCGGUGGCUCAUGCCUGUAAUCCAGCACUUUGGGAGGCCGAGGCAGGCAGAUCAUGAGGUCAGGAGAUCAAGACCAUCCUGGAUAACAUGGUAAAACCCCAUCUCUACUAAAAAAAAAAACAAAAACAAACAAAAAAAAACAUUAGCCAGGCAUGGUGGCGGGCGCCUGUAGUCCCAGCUACUUGGGAGGAUGAAGCAGGAGAAUGGCAUGAACCCGGGAGGCGGAGCUUGCAGUGAGCCGAGAUCAUGCCACUGCACUCCAGCCUGGGCGACAGAGCGAGACUCUAUCUUAAAAAACAAAAACAAAAACAAAAACGAAUGAGGCAGUGUUGAUUAUUGCUGGAGAAACUCCCUUUAUAGGAGUUUUACGUGAUUAUUCAUAAGGAGGUGGGAAGAGCUGUUACUAGUAAGCAUGUUUCGGGUGGUCCUCUGGGUGCACAUGAGUAGUAGCUGUACAUGCUUGUUCAUUUGGCACAUGUCUUAUUAGCAUCUUAAAUCUCCACCCAGGAGUGUGUUUUUUACUAUUAUAAUGAGCCAGGGGGUCAGUUUGAGGACAGGAAAAGUCAAAGUGCACAGGCUGUCUAGAUGGGAAGUUCCCUACUGAAGAUAGCUUUGCUUGAAUGAGCUCAGUUAGAAUAUGAAUGCCGAGGCUUAUUGUGUUGACUAUAGGAUCACCAAGGUUGCUGCACUUCCUUGAUUACCUAUCCUGCCUCACUGGGAGGGUGCUUGUGUCCUGCCCAUUCUUUCUUUCCUUCCUGCUUUUGUUGUGUCUGCUUUCCUGUGAUAAUUUAGAAAACAGGAACAAGUUUAUGGCCUCACAGUAGAGCCUUACAUCCAUUGUCCAUCUGUCCUUCCAGUUUCCCUCCAUAUUUCAGAAAAGAUUUAAAAGUGCUUGUAUGUACACUAUGAUAUGAUUGUAGAGCCUAUGGUGGCUGGAAGACCUCACACCAGUCUCAGAAAUCACACCUAACUCCUGUCUUCCCCCAGGUCUCUGCCUUUUCCUACUCUGGGAGCUCAGUAGGCUUCUGGCUACUCCCUUAGCCUGAUUGCAACCCUCUGGUUGCCAUCAGUAGCAGUGCCACCCACUUGGGCUAAUUCAGGAGACCUUGCAAAUGACAGAGGCAAUUCAGCUAAGAGAGGGGAUCUGCAGGGCUUCCCAGAUAGGCCAAAGAGAUGAACCCACUAAGGCUGCUAUGGGACAUCUCUCUGUUCACUUUCUGUUUUAGGGAAUUACAGGGAUUAUGGGGUCAAACUGCAGCCAGGAAGUCUUUAAACAUUAGGAAAUUAGUUUUGACAACCAGAUCAUGUCAGAUCUAGAAAAGUUUACAUAGAGCUGCUAUGGAACUCUCCGUUUUUCUACAUCCCUCCUACCUUCUUAGAGUUAGAAGGGAUCUUAAUAGAUUAACCCUUAAUUUUACAUUGACAUCUAGAAUUUGUAAGCUUAUGCCUAAGGACUCAUAGCAAAUGGACAGUAGCCUAGAGCCUGGUGAGCAUCCCAUUGUACACAUUGAAUAUUAUCCUCUCCCUCCUGCCUCCACUCCCCAUCUUAUUUAUUUAAGUCAGCCAGAUAUCUUUCCUAAGCCUCUGCACUGAGAAGGGCCAGGUGUAUUCUUGAUCCCUGGACUCCUGAGAGAGGCAGAUGUAGCCCAGCAGGAUCAUUGAUCAUGUAAACAAACCACAGCCUUGCCCUCUGUGCAGGGAUGGUGGGAUGCCAUAAGCCACAAAGAGCACUCCCUCCUCCAUCCUCUUUUGUAAGGGAUCAAGGGUCAAGGUUUAGUCCAUGGAGAAUUUUGAUCUAAGGCAGAGGUCAGGAGUUAAGUAAAACUAAGAGCACUCAUAGCCAAAUGGGUGAGCAUUUCAUUGAUGAAGCAGUAACUGGGAGACAGGCUCCAGACCAGUGGCCGUUCCAAGGCUCCUGCCCCCUUCCCCAGGGGGUCCUCUUCCCCAUGACUCCCCUUCCCCAGGCCUUCCUUCUCCAUGGCACCACUACACAUCAAUAUUCCUGGCAAUAUUCUUCAUCAUGGAGACUUCGGCAGUGACUUCAACCAGAUGAAAAGCCCCACCUCAUUCCUGAAUGAUUGAGGUGCUAGAACAUGCUCUUUGUAAACCCCUGAAACAUGGCUUGGAUCAUUCCGUCUCCCACCUCAGCCCCUCCGGAGCUGCCUGGACCUCAUCAUUCCGGAGAGUCUAAGUGGCCUCUUCUCGUGCUCAGCUGCUUACCUGGACCACGUCAUUAUCAUACUUUUGAGUCUGGAUGAAUUUUGUCUUAGGGCGGAGAGCUCACCAGUUCUACUGGUCUUGGAGAACAAGAUUUUCUAAAGGGAAAGGAAGAUUCUUGAACAUAUUGUGAAAGAGAUGUAUAAGCAUCCAGACAGGAAAUGAGGAUAAGUGUUUAUUAAACACAAGUUAUUUCAUACUAGCCUCAUUCUCUCUUUGGAAACCAUUAUUAAACUGGUAGAGUAUGGAAAUCCCUAGAUGUCAUCUACCCGGACUAUUUAAAGUUAUGUUUUAAUCAUGUAAUAAAGGAAUGCAUUCUCAUAUAAAUUAAAA